rnacentral:rRNA from 1 species
GACAGAGGGGGCAAGCGUUGCUCGGAAUUACUGGGCGUAAAGGGCGCGUAGGCGGAAUGGCAAGUCGGUCGUGAAAUCCCUCGGCUCAACCGAAGAACGUCGAUCGAAACUGCCGUUCUUGAGGAUUGCAGAGGAGACUGGAAUUCCCGGUGUAGCGGUGAAAUGUGUAGAGAUCGGGAGGAACACCGGUGGCGAAGGCGGGUCUCUGGGCAAUUCCUGACGCUGAGGCGCGAAAGCGUGGGGAGCAAACGGG